CAGCCGCCGCGGUAAUACGAAGGGUGCAAGCGUUACUCGGAAUUACUGGGCGUAAAGCGCACGCAGGCGGUUUGUUAAGUCAGAUGUGAAAUCCCCGAGCUUAACUUGGGAACUGCAUUUGAAACUGGCAAGCUAGAGUCUUGUAGAGGGGGGUAGAAUUCCAGGUGUAGCGGUGAAAUGCGUAGAGAUCUGGAGGAAUACCGGUGGCGAAGGCGGCCCCCUGGACAAAGACUGACGCUCAGGUGCGAAAGCGUGGGGAGCAAACAGGAUUAGAUACCCCAGUAGUCCCUGUCUCUUAUAC
rnacentral:rRNA from 1 species